ACAUUAACUCAUUUCAAAUAGGAUGAUGAUAGGCAUCAAAGUACACUCAGCGAUUACAGGCUGUGGGGCGCCAUGCCCGCCAGUGAAAAGCGCUGACCAGCCAUCCGCCACGAGGGCUCAGGGACAAACCCGAAAGGGCAGGUGAGCGGGCGACUGGCGGCGAGGAGCUCCGGGACCUGGGCGCGUCCCUCCGCUCCAGGUGCAGCCUUUUAAGUUCCAACUCAGAGCAAGGGGGAUGAUGUUUCCCACACCAUCAUAGUAGGACUUGAACUCAAAUCUAUGUCCACAAAACACCUUGCAACCGUCAAGGGAUCUGCUCAGCCUUUCCACUUUUCCUCUGGAAUUGACAAAGGACCCCAAGGGAAAACAGAUCCAAAUGCUGGACUCACUCCUAGGCUAUUUUAAACCGCCUCUCUACCUUCCCAAGGACUGCUGGUUAACAACACCAACCCAUCAGACACACUGAGAAAAUUAUGAAGCAAACCCUUUGACAGAAGGAGAAGCCAACUACAGUCAUAGUGGCUUUGUAGUGGGCUCUUUCAUCAGACGUUUUGUGUAAUAAGUUUUACUCGUGGUAAACAUUGCACCUUCUUAUCCAAGCAAUACUAAGGGUACCCGCCCCCCUCCCCCCCCCCCCUGGCAAAAAAAAGACUCUUUAAAAAGUCUUUGGUUGUUAUACCAUAAAUCAAUUCACAAAUUUAUGUCAUCACUAACAUCAUCUGUAAAUUUAAUAACAUAAAAUGCAAGUAAAUUCUGUUUCCAUCCAUUUUUAAGGUGAAAUAAUGUUGAAAUGAGCUCCAUCUUUGUCAUUUGUUUAAUAUUAAAAUUUGAGUUGCCCAAAAUGAUUCUGAUAUUGACUUUGAAGGAUCUUUUAAACAAUUUUAAUUUGACCCUCUGAUUGGGUUCUCCAUUUUACCUAGUUAAGACUUCUUUUUUUGAAGUUGCAAAAGAGACUCAUAAUUUUUUUUCAAAUGUGUAUAAUGAUUUUUAAAUUAUUAAAAUGAACAUUUUAAGAAUUUCUUAUCUUGGGGUUUUCUCACCAAAGAAAACAAUACUUGGUAUCAUGUGCAGCUUUACAGCAAUAAAACUGAUCUUUAAUUAAGCAUCUAAGUACCUGUUAGAAUUUGUAGAUUUGCUGCUGCUGCUGGCCACUACUGUUCACUAUUUGUGGUCAAAGGCCUGUUCUCAACCACUUCAUUUUCAAGUUCAAAGCAGGAGGCCUAGUGGACAAUCACUCUUUUUCAACAUGAUUUCAGCUUGUUUUGAAUUUUUCGCAUCACAAAUAUUUUUUCUAUAAGCACAUGACUUAAAUAUAUUGUCUUAAGUAUAUCAAGAACUAUGUUGGGGGGCAAUUGGGAAAAGGGGGACAUAUGUAAUACUUUCAACAAUAAAGAUUUAUUUUAAAACAUUAAAAAAUAAAAAGCAGAACUUUUAGUCCAUUUGUAU